CUCGACACGUUCCCUUUUGAACACACCACAAACCUAAUUAUCAAGUCCGCAGAUUACUUAGCCUUCUAUGGUUUCUUGAGACCCAAAGAAUUUUCAGUGGCGAAAGCAUCCGACACCAAGUCAUGCCUCCAGAAGAAACACCUAAUUAAAAAACAGGACCACUACAUCUUAUCUAUUACUCAUAUCAAAACAAGCCAAACAGGUCCUCCGGUAGAAAUUAAAUACUAUCCUACCUCUACCAAAUGGUGUCCUAUCCUAGUUUUAGAUAAACCUGUGGUGUCCCAAGUCACUUCCAACCCUGACUGCCCACUGUUAGCUAUUCAAGGGAAACCCCUAACCACUAAACAAUUUAUGCUUUACAUUCGUACAUUAUUACUCCGGCUAGGACAUAACCCACACGCCUUCUCAGGCCAUUCCUUCCGCAUUGGAGCAGCCACAGCUGCCUCAGGUAAUCACGUACCAACUCACAUCAUUAAAAAUAUGGGUAGGUGGAAAUCAUCCGCAUACAACAGAUACAUUCCCGACCCUGAGAAAGAGAUAAG